CUUAAAAGAAUGAAUAAAUUUCAUAUUCACCAAACAGGACAAUAAGUUGUAGCAUAUUACAUCUCCGCACUUAACAAUGAAACUCAUUAAACUAUAAGUGGUCGUUUGGUUUGAGGUCAAAAUAGUCCCGGGAUUACAAUCCCGGGACUAAUUUAUACCAUCUGUUGGUAUUAUUUUAUACCAUCUUUCAGAUGGUAUAAAAUAAUACCAGUAUAAGUGGGUUAAGAAGGUAUAAGUUGAGUUAUUCCAGCACUAAUUUUUAUACCACGUUUGGUACAAGGUAUAAAAUAAUCCCGGGAUAAAUCUAUACCUUAUACCAAACGUGGUAUAAAAAUUAGUACCGGCAUAACCCAUGUUAUACCUUAAACCAAACGACCACUAAGGAAACUACCUUAAAGUUGUGAGCUUUAAUAAAUUUAUGAUUGCUUUGAUGGCAAAAUAAGGCUGAACUAGGUAAUGAGUAUUGAGACCAAUGCACAAGGUUAACUGAGGACCCAAAUUAUCAUCCAAAAGUAGAUCAGAAAUGGGAAAGGAGCUUUCACACAAAGACCAAUUGUUAUAAUAAACUAAAGUUAAAAAUAAAGGAAUACAAUUAAAAACAAAAGAAAAAAAAGGAAAGAACAUACAAACCAAUCAGCUUUCUUGGCUUCAAUCUUCUCUGUGACUUAGAGAUAACUUUGGACUUCAGCUCUGAAUCUUUCUCAUGGCCAAUAUCUGGACCAUAGGCUUGUGAUUGUUUUGCCGUGGCUUGAGAAGAGUCAACUGUUUGUUGUGAUUCUUGUGUCAUAGCUUCAGUUGCAGCAUCAAAGUUGAAGUACUCUUCCAACCGGUCAUCACUUUCAACAGUUGAAGAUGAUGCAUUCUUUGAGCCUUUUUGUGAUCGUCCAUCUUGCCUCUCAAAGCCAUUAUGGUAUAGAGUAGCUCUCAAGGCAACAAAUUAUGAUCCUACAAACACCCGGAAUCAAGUAUAAUUAUGAUUCUGCUGACAUCUAGAUUGGAAAGUCUUUUAAGAGAAAGGGAACUAAGAAAAUCCAGCAAGUUGAUCUGCAAAUGAAGGCAUAAGAGACGGCUACAGUGACUCAGAUGAUUUCCAAAACGGAAUUGAACAGUACUCCAUUUAUAUCAAUUUAUGGGACUCAUUUUUCAUUUAAUUUGUCCAAAAAAAAAGAAUAGCUAUUCCAAGAACCAAAAAAAAAAAAAAAAAAAAGAGCUGCUCUAUACCAUUAUUUGUUGUCUUGAGAGCUACUCUAUACCAUAAUGGCUUUGAGAGGCAAGAUGGACGAUCACAAAAAAGGUGGCUCAAAGAAUGCAUCAUCUUUGACUGUGUUGCAAGUGAUGACUGGUUGGAAGACUACUUCAACUUUAAUGCUGCAACUGAAGCUAUGACACAAGAAUCACAGUAAACAAUUGGCUCUUUCCAAGCCACAGCACAACAAUCACAAGCCUAUAGUCCAGAUAUUGGCCAUGAGGAAGAUUCAGAUCUGAGGCCCAAAAUUAUCUCCGUGUCAUAGACAAGAUUGAAGGCAAGAAAGCUGCAAGUGAGGCCGCCAACUGGUACAAGAAGAAUUCAGUUUACUGAGGGUGUAGAUGGAGUGUCAAUGCCUACAAACUUGCCUUAUUCACCAACUAAGACAACUUGGAGAGGCAAUAAGGCACUUACAGCCUACCAGCUUGAACUCAAGUAAGAAGAAAGAGGAUGAAGUGUGGAUCAAAAGGAAAAGGAGCUGAUGUACCUGAUUUUGAUACCUAACAAGAUGUUGCUAGUUUUUGUGAUGGAUGGUUGUACCAAACUGUUGGUAUUGGGGUGGUUAUUUUUGUGAAAAUGUUUAACGAUGGUUGAUGGACAACUUACUUUAACUUAGUUUAACUUAGUUUUUGUGGAUGAUGGUUGUGAAAAAUAAUUAAUUUUUGGUGAAUUCACUGUCACAUUUUUCAUGUCGACUAUUGACAUGUCAAUGUGAGUAUGAAUUUCAGGUGGAAGUGUUUUGGUAAGCAUCACCUUUUGUACAAAACUAUUGAUAUCUUCCAUAUGAAUGCUAUCUUUGUUUAGUAGGUGUAUAAAA